rnacentral:rRNA from 1 species
GACGAACGCUGGCGGCGUGCUUAACACAUGCAAGUCGAACGGAAAGGCCCUGCUUUUGUGGGUUGCUCGAGUGGCGAACGGGGGAGUAACACGUGAGGAACCUGCCCUUGACUUUGGGAUAACUUCAGGAAACUGGGGCUAAUAUCGGAGAGGAUCUCCUGCUGCACGGUGGGGGUUGGAAAGAUUCGGCGGUGGUGGCUGGACUCGCGGCUUAUCAGCUGGUUGGUGGAGUAGGUGCUGACCAAGGCUUUGACGGGUAGGCGGCAUGGGAGGGUGACCGGCCUCCAUAGUACUGCGAUACGGACCAGAAUGCUACGGGCGGCAGCAGUGGAGAGUAUUGCGCAAUGACGGGAAGUCUGAUGCAGCAGCGCCGCGAGCGGGAUGCCGGCCUUCGAGUUGUAAACCGCUUUCGCAUGUGCCGAAGCGUGAGUGACGGUAAUGGGUAAAGAAGCCACGGCUAACUACGUG